rnacentral:rRNA from 1 species
UACGAAGGGGCUAGCGUUGCUCGGAAUCACUGGGCGUAAAGGGUGCGUAGGCGGGUCUUUAAGUCAGGGGUGAAAUCCUGGAGCUCAACUCCAGAACUGCCUUGAUACUGAAGAUCUUGAGUUCGGGAGAGGUGAGUGGAACUGCGAGUGUAGAGGUGAAAUUCGUAGAGUAUUCGCAAGAACACCAGUGGCGAAGGCGGACUCACUGGCCCGAGUACUGACGCUGAGGCACGGAAAGGCGUGGG